rnacentral:rRNA from 1 species
ACGGAGGGUGCAAGCGUUGUUCGGAAUUAUUGGGCGUAAAGGGCGCGUAGGAGGUUGUGUAAGUCAGUUGUGAAAUACUUCGGCUCAACCGAAGAACUGCAUCUGAUACUGCACAACUCGAGUAUAGGAGAGGGAAGCGGAAUUCCCGGUGUAGAGGUGAAAUUCGUAGAUAUCGGGAGGAACACCAGUGGCGAAGGCGGUUUCCUGGCAUAAUACUGACGCUGAGGCGCGAAAGCGUGGGGAGCAAACAG